rnacentral:lncRNA from 1 species
UUCAUCUGUAAAGAAAAUGAGACUCAGUCUCUGUGUUCGUGUACAAGCCAGAAGCUUCCGGAAGUAUAUACAAAAAUAUCUACACUAUUAUUUUCUAUACAGUGUAUUGGACCAUUGGGCCAGAAUUAAAUAAGUUUACAUAUGGGCUACUUGGGUUGUUGUGUUGCUGUAUCUGCUGCUUCAGUGAAUUGGGCUGCAGACGUGGCCCAAUAACUCCAACACCCCCUGCAAGUUGGAGGGUGACUGAACCCCCAACUUGAGCAUGACGGAAUGAUGCAAAAUACCAGUAAGAGGCUUGGUAAAUAUAUCCGCGAGCUGAGAAGUAGUAGAGACAUGGUGCAAAGUAAUAAGGCCUUCAUGAAGCUUGCCUCUGAUGAAAUGACAAUCCACCUCAAUAUGUUUGGUCCGCUCAUGGAAAACUGGAUUCUUUGCAAUGUGAAGUGUUGCUUGAUUAUCACAAAAGACAGGGACAGGAGAGGUAACAGGGACUCCAAAAUCAGACAGCAAACGAAUAAGCCAGGUGAGCAGGAUUCUUUGCAAUGUGAAGUGCUGCUUGAUUGUCACAAAACACAGGGACAUGAGAGGUAAUAGGGACUCCAAAAUCAGAAAGCAAACGAAUGAGCCAGGUGAGCUCACCAACAACCUUGCUGAUGGCCCUAUAUUCAGCCUCAGCAGAAGACAAAGAUACUACAUGCUGCUUUUUAGCCUUCCAACCAAUAAGAGAAUCACCUAACAGUACACAAAAAUCAGAGACAGACCUUCUGGUGUCUGCGCAGGAUGCCCAGUCAUUAUCACAAUAAGCAGAUAAGGAGAGGUCUGCUGUGUUGCUGAGAAAAAUGCCAAGGUCCGAGGUACCUCUAAGAUAUCUCAGUGUGUGUAAGGCUGCAUGCAUAUGAGAGGAGGUAGGCUUCUGAAGAUAUUGACUUAAGUGCUGGACAUCAAAUGCUAAGUCAGGUCUAGUGUGGGUGAGGAAAUUGAGCUUCCCCACUAAGCAUCUAUAGACUUCAGGAGAAGGAAGAGGAUCCCCUAAAUCCAGUUUCAGCUUAACAGAGAGAUCAAGAGGGCAAGUAACAGGGGAGACAUCCUCACAGUUAUAGGGUUUGAGAAGGUCAGUGACAAACUUCUUCUGGUGGAGAAGGAGCCCAGCAGAAUGAUAACUGACCUCAAUACCAAGGAAGUAGUUGAGCACCCCCAAAUCCUUGAUUUUAAACUCAUGAUCCAGAAAAGUCUUCAAAGCAGUGAUUUCCUUCAAAUUAUUACCAGUAAGAAUGUUGUCAUCAACAUAUACAGCUAACAAGACAAUAGAAGAGCCAGAUUUCUUAAGAAAAAGAGAGUAGUCAAUGAGAGAAGAAGAAAACCCUUUAGAACAUAAGGCCUGGGAGAGCUUGGCAUACCAUUGCCUGGAAGCCUGCCUUAA